AAUAAAUGUAAAUAAAGAAGAUUUAAGUAGUAAGAGAUAAGAUCUUGAAACUUAAAGAAUUUGGCGGUGUUUUAUUCUAUUCAGAGGAAUCUGUUUUGUAAUUGAUAUUACACGAUUGAAUUGACUUAAAUUUAUAAUUUGUAUAUCGCCGUCAUCAGAUUAUUUCGAUUAGAGGAAUUUAAUUAUUAAGAUAUUUAUUAGAAUAAAAUGUCAGGUCAAGGUGCAGUUUAUAUUUAAGAAUAAAAUGGAUUACAAUAAAUGAAGAUUUUUGGAUUAUUAAUGUGAUUGUUUUUAUGAAAUUGGAUUUGAAAGUAAAUUAAUUUAAAUUGAUUUAUUGAAGGAGCUCUAAAGCAUGU
rnacentral:rRNA from 1 species